rnacentral:rRNA from 1 species
UACGUAUGUCCCGAGCGUUAAUCGGAUUUACUGGGCGUAAAGCGUGCGCAGGCGGCCCGUUAAGACAGGUGUGAAAUCCCUGGGCUCAACCUAGGAAUUGCGCUUGUGACUGGCGGGCUCGAGUACGGUAGAGGGGGGUGGAAUUCCUGGUGUAGCAGUGAAAUGCGUAGAGAUCAGGAGGAACACCGAUGGCGAAGGCAGCCCCCUGGGCCUGUACUGACGCUCAUGCACGAAAGCGUGGGGAGCAAACAGG